GCUUGCUAGGAGGCGUCGAGCGGCGGACGGGUGAGUAAUGCAUAGGAAUCUACCCAGUCGUGGGGGAUAACCUGAGGAAACUCAGGCUAAUACCGCAUACGUCCUACGGGAGAAAGCGGGGGCUCUUCGGACCUCGCGCGAUUGGAUGAGCCUAUGUCGGAUUAGCUUGUUGGUAAGGUAACGGCUUACCAAGGCGACGAUCCGUAGCUGGUCUGAGAGGAUGAUCAGCCACACCGGGACUGAGACACGGCCCGGACUCCUACGGGAGGCAGCAGUGGGGAAUAUUGGACAAUGGGCGAAAGCCUGAUCCAGCCAUGCCGCGUGUGUGAAGAAGGCUUUCGGGUUGUAAAGCACUUUCAGCGAGGARGAAANGCGUGCCGGYCAAUACCCGGUACGGACGACAUCACUCGCAGAAGNAAGCACSGGCUAACUCCGUGCCAGCAGCCGCGGUAAUACGGAGGGUGCAAGCGUUAAUCGGAAUUACUGGGCGUAAAGCGCGCGUAGGCGGCGUGUCACGCCGGGUGUGAAAGCCCCGGGCUCAACCUGGGAACGGCAUCCGGAACGGGCAGGCUAGAGUGCAGGAGAGGAAGGUAGAAUUCCCGGUGUAGCGGUGAAAUGCGUAGAGAUCGGGAGGAAUACCAGUGGCGAAGGCGGCCUUCUGGACUGACACUGACGCUGAGGUGCGAAAGCGUGGGUAGCAAACAGGAUUAGAUACCCUGGUAGUCCACGCCGUAAACGAUGUCGACUAGCCGUUGGGUCCCUUGAGGACUUAGUGGCGCAGUUAACGCGAUAAGUCGACCGCCUGGGGAGUACGGCCGCAAGGUUAAAACUCAAAUGAAUUGACGGGGGCCCGCACAAGCGGUGGAGCAUGUGGUUUAAUUCGAUGCAACGCGAAGAACCUUACCUACCCUUGACAUCCUGCGAACCCGGAAGAGAUUCCGGGGUGCCUUCGGGAGCGCARAGACAGGUGCUGCAUGGCUGUCGUCAGCUCGUGUUGUGAAAUGUUGGGUUAAGUCCCGUAACGAGCGCAACCCUUGUCCCUAUUUGCCAGCGAUUCGGUCGGGAACUCUANGGGAGACUGCCGGUGACAAACCGGARGNAAGGUGGGGACGACGUCAAGUCAUCAUGGCCCUUACGGGUAGGGCUACACACGUGCUACAAUGGCCGGUACAAAGGGUUGCGAAAGCGCGAGCUGAAGCUAAUCCCGAAAAGCCGGUCUCAGUCCGGAUCGGAGUCUGCAACUCGACUCCGCGAAGUCGGAAUCGCUAGUAAUCGUGCAUCAGAAUGGCACGGUGAAUACGUUCCCGGGCCUUGUACACACCGCCCGUCACACCAUGGAAGUGGACUGCACCAGAAGUGGUAGCUUUAACCCUCGGGAGAGCGAUC
rnacentral:rRNA from 1 species